AUACUUACCUGGCAGGGGAGACACCAUGAUCACGAAGGUGGUUUUCCCAGGGCGAGGCUUAUCCAUUGCACUCCGGAUGUGCUGACCCCUGCGAUUUCCCCAAAUGUGGGAAACUCGACUGCAUAUAUAUUUAUAUAGAAAUAUAUAUAUAUAUAUUUCUC